rnacentral:rRNA from 1 species
ACGAACCGUGCGAACGUUAUUCGGAAUCACUGGGCUUAAAGCGCGUGUAGGCGGCCCGGCACGUCGGACGCUGAAAUCCCCCGGCUCAACCGGGGAACGGGCGCCGAUACGACCGGGCUGGAGGGGGGUAGGGGGCGCCGGAACUUCCGGUGGAGCGGUGAAAUGCGUUGAGAUCGGAAGGAACGCCCGUGGCGAAAGCGGGCGCCUGGACCCCACCUGACGCUGAGACGCGAAAGCCAGGGGAGCGAAC